rnacentral:rRNA from 1 species
AUCGAACGCUGGCGGCAUGCCUUACACAUGCAAGUCGAACGAGACCGUCGGGGCUAUCGUCGCGGCGAUUGGUGACCCGUUGGAACCUGCCUUUAAGUUCGGAAAAACGCCCCGGAAAAGGUACUAAUACCUGUUCAUAUCUUGCAUCCAAAGAUUUAUUGACUUUGGAUGGGCCCGCGUUGGUUUAGGUAGUUGGUAGGGUAAAGGCCUACCAAUGCUACGUUCGAUAGCUGGUCUGCGAGGAUGCUCAGCCACACUGGGACGGAGACACGGCCCAGACUUCUACGGGAGGCAGCAGUGGGUAAUAUUGGACAAUGGGCGAAAGGCUGAUCCAGCAAUGCCGCGUGAGUGAUGAAGGACGUAGGGUUGUAAUGUUCUUUUACCAGGGAUGCUAAUGACAGUACCGGAAGAAUAAGCACCGGCUAACUACGUG